rnacentral:rRNA from 1 species
UACGAAGGGGGCUAGCGUUGCUCGGAAUCACUGGGCGUAAAGGGUGCGUAGGCGGGUUUUUAAGUCAGAGGUGAAAUCCUGGAGCUCAACUCCAGAACUGCCUUUGAUACUGAAAGUCUUGAGUAUGGGAGAGGUGAGUGGAACUGCGAGUGUAGAGGUGAAAUUCGUAGAUAUUCGCAAGAACACCAGUGGCGAAGGCGGCUCACUGGCCCGGUACUGACGCUGAGGUGCGAAAGCGUGGGGGAGCAAACAGG